UCCUGGAAUGCUAAAUAGAUGAGGUAAAUGGUACAUAUCACUUACCUAAUUUGAAUUAGUAAAUGUGUUCCUUUAGAAGUCAUAAUACUUUCAUGAACAUCCUGUGGCAUUUCUAAUAUGUUCGUGUUAGUCCCGUACGUGUGAGUGUAUUUUUAAUCCUGUAAUAGAGGGCAAUUGAUGAAUUGUUAGCUGACCGUAGAAGUUUAAGUGCAUCUCCUUCGUCUUUUUCUCUCUUCUUUAUUGAUAAAUGAAUUCUUUUAUCAAUUCAAAAUUGAUCAUUGAUUUCCUUUUUUGGAUAAGCAAAAUUGAUUAUUGAUUACUCAUUUUUGCAUAUCAUAAUUUCAUAAAAGCACGAAUGCAUAAACAUAUAAAAAAAUUUAGAAUGACUCCCAACUUUUUAAAUGCAUGUUCCGUCCCCAUAUGGACACGGCAUAAGUGAGUGAUAAAAGCUUAUGAGAUG
rnacentral:misc_RNA from 1 species